rnacentral:rRNA from 1 species
GACGAACGCUGGCGGCGUGCUUAACACAUGCAAGUCGAACGAUGAAGAAGAGAAACGCGAACUUCGGUUCAAAUUUCACUUCGGAUUAGUGGCAGACGGGUGAGUAACUCUUGAGCAACCUACCUCUUACAAAGGGAUAGCCUCGGGAAACCGUGAUUAUUACCAUAUGACACAUUCAUAAGGCAUCUUAAGAAUGUUAAAUCUACGGCGGUAAGAGAUGGGCUCGCGUCCCAUUAGCUAGUUGGUGAGGUAACGGCCCACCAAGGCGACGAUGGGCAACCGGGAUGAGAGGGUGAACGGUCACAUUUGAAGUGGGCCACGGUACAAAAUCCUACGGGAGGCAGCAGUGGGGGAUAUUGCAACAUGGAGGGAAUGAUGAUGGUGCGACGACGCGAGAGCGAUGAAGUAAUUCGUUUAGUAAAGCUCUGUUAUAUGGGCAGAACAGGACUGUACCAUAGGAGAAAGCCACGGCUAAAUACGUG